UACGUAGGGUGCGAGCGUUGUCCGGAUUUAUUGGGCGUAAAGAGCUCGUAGGCGGUUUGUCGCGUCGGCCGUGAAAUCUCCACGCUUAACGUGGAGCGUGCGGUCGAUACGGGCAGACUUGAGUUCGGUAGGGGAGACUGGAAUUCCUGGUGUAGCGGUGAAAUGCGCAGAUAUCAGGAGGAACACCGGUGGCGAAGGCGGGUCUCUGGGCAAUAACUGACGCUGGAGGAGCGAAAGCGUGGGGAGCGAACAGG
rnacentral:rRNA from 1 species